rnacentral:rRNA from 1 species
GCUUAUCACCAUUCCAGAUUGAAUAUACCCGAUCUCGUCUGAUCUCGGAAGUCAAGCAAUCUCGAGCUUGGUUAGUACUUGGAUGGGUGACCGCUUGGGAAUACCAAGUGUGAUAAGCA